AACCUAUACUUUGGACCAGACCAGACUAGAUCAUCUUGUUCCUGGAAGUGGAACAUGAAGCAUCCCGUUUAUUUUAACGUUAAACUUCCUUAAUUGUUCCUUACAAAGGCAUUCACUGCUUUCUUACUGCACUUCACCAUGGAAACUACAUCAGUUCUCCUUCACUCUAAAACAAUUCCAUUCAGUUUCACUAUUUCCAUCAACAACAGAAAAAGAAAACUCUCUUUCCGGCAUCACAACAAACACCUUCAAUCCCAUUUAUCAAAUACCAGUGUACUCUCUGGUCAAAACCUUAAACCCAUAAAAAACCCAUUAAACCCUCCUUUUUCAUUGUAUCUAUCAACUUCAUCUCUGAAAAUAACGGGAACCCACUUGUUAUCUCCUCCCAAAUGCUCAUAUUCCGGCGCUGUAAGCACAGAGGGGCUUCAGACCCACCAAUUUUUAAAACCCUUAAAAAACCUCUCUCUUGAGAAACUGAAAGCUACCCUUUUGCAAUUAACCCCUGUUGACAUCAUCAAGUGGUCUGCUAUCUUAUCGGCUGCAAUUGCUGCCACAAAAUGGACUGUGAAUUUGGUAAUUAACCCGUUUUUCUGGAUGUAUUUUAGCUGGACAUGGUUGUUUUGGCCAUGGUUUGUGGCUAUAUCACUUGCUGUUUAUGGGUUAUACUGCUUCUAUAAGCAUUCAAUCGGUGAAGCUAGCAUUUUUGAGCAACUUGCAAUUGUUACAUCAGUGUUCACUUGGUUAACUCUAGUCCCUCCUGCCCAUUUCAGUGGAUAUCUACAAGGAUGGCCUUUUGUGUUCUUUUUGGUGUAUCAUUAUUUCUUCUUCUUCAAUGUAAGUGUGAGGAAACGUUUGUAUGGGGAUUAUUAUGCACGUCCGCACGACCCCAAGUGGGAUUUAAACCCACCCAGAUGGUGUCGCCUUUUGUUCUGUGUUGGGGUCAUGGCUGGGCACUGGCUUGCAGCUUUUGAAGGGCCAGAGCUGCACCUUAUUCCUGGUGGGUGGAUCAAUGUGGGGAUUUGGAUUUUGAUAUUGGCAACUUUGCUAAUGCAAUAUAAUUCUACAUUUUACCUUGCUAAGUAUUCAGAGAAGGUGGUGGUGCCUUCUGCUGUUGUGCAGUUUGGGCCAUAUAGGUGGGUCCGGCACCCUAUCUAUUCGUCCACAUUGCUUCUCUUUGUGACUUAUUUCAUUGCGCUUCGUGCACCUUUGAGCCUGUUGUUUGUGGUAGCGGUAUGUUUGAUGUAUUAUGCACAGAAGGCAAAAAUGGAGGAGGGUUUAAUGAUUGAGACUUUCGGGGAGAAGUAUCUAGAGUACAUGAGUAAAGUUCAGUACAAGUUCAUUCCUUUGGUUUAUUAGGAUGGCCUCCAGGGACGACUUGUUGUAAGACACAUCUUGAUGCCUACAACACCAUGGAGCAAAGUUUAUGCAGUAUAGGUGGAUCCUUAUCUUUUUUAUGAUCUACAAUUCAGCUGGAACUGUUAUGCCACGUGCUGAAGCUGUAGCAUUGUGACGCGGACUGCAUUCUCUUACAAGCCUACAUCUCACGGAAGCUGACCCAAUAUCCCCUAUAAUUUGAUUGGUAUAUAGAUUAACACUUUAAGUUCAGUCCCAGAAAAAGAAAAUCUGGGCAUUGUGGAAGCCAGCUCAUAUGCACAUGAUAAUCAGCUCAUCAUGAUGAGAAGCAUAUCAACUAACACUUGCUUUGCACCACGUUGUAAGCAUGCGGUUGAAAAAUUCAAGAUAGAGCAAGAAAUAUAUCACUUGAAAACACGCAGGGAUGUCCAGGUUUCCACACUUGCGUUUAUCGCCUUUCGGUCUCUUUUUAAGGUGUAUGAUGGGGAGGCUGGCAGGCAUGACUUGUCUAUGUUUUGCGAACGUGUUUCUUGGAAGUUUACCAGUUUCAGUCCCACCUAUGUGCUAUAAUUUAAGUAUUUUUCUCCA